AUUCACCAUUCUUAUUCUGCUACUAAAAAUAGAUUCAUGGGUAUUGAAUCAGUCCCCCAACCUCCACGUAAAGGAAAUUGGGACCAAAAACUAAGGCAGGGAGAAUCGUAUUGGAUUUACAAACUCAAUACAUUAUCAGUGUUAAGUGAGGGAUUCUCUUUUUCAGCCUUUUUGUAAUACUCUCCUCAUUAAAGGGGCUUAAACAACAUUGAGGAACUCUUCCUUUCUAAGCUCCCUACCGUACUAUUUGUAUAUUUGUAGAUAUGUAAAUACGACACUUUUUAUAUGAACAUGAACGGCCACUUUAUUUCCACUGUGCCCAUUUUGCCAUUUGAACCAAGAUACUGUCUGCCUUAUCUAAUGUAUCCUGAUUGGGGCACACUUCUCCUGAUUGGAUGUUUAUUUCCCUAUGUUUUGUAGGCAUUACUCAAUCUAUAAAGACGGGUGGCAAUUUUUUUACCGUACAACUGAUG